rnacentral:rRNA from 1 species
CACGUAGGAGGCAAACGUUAUCCGGAUUUACUGGGCGUAAAGCGCGUGUAGGUGGUUCUGUAAGUAGGGCGUGAAAGCUCCCGGCUCAACUGGGAGAGGCCGUUCUAAACCGCAGAGCUAGAGGAUGGUAGAGGGAGGUGGAAUUCCAGGUGUAGCGGUGGAAUGCGCAGAUAUCUGGAGGAACACCAGUGUCGAAGGCGGCCUCCUGGACCAUUCCUGACACUAAGACGCGAAAGCUAGGGUAGCAAACGGGAUUAGAUACCCCGGUAGUCCCUGAG